AGAGUUUGAUCCUGGCUCAGGAUGAACGCUAGCGGCAGGCUUAAUACAUGCAAGUCGAACGGUAAGUAGAGUAGCAAUACUUUACCAAGAGUGACGUACGGGUGCGUAACACGUAUGCAACCUACCCAUAACAGGAGGAUAGCUCCCCGAAAGGGGAAUUAACCCUCCAUAGUAUAAUUGACUGGCAUCAGUUGAUUAUUAAAACUCCGGUGGUUAUGGAUGGGCAUGCGUCUGAUUAGUUAGUUGGCGGUGUAACGGACCACCAAGACGAUGAUCAGUAGGGGAACUGAGAGGUUGAUCCCCCACACUGGCACUGAGAUACGGGCCAGACUCCUACGGGAGGCAGCAGUAGGGAAUAUUGGUCAAUGGAUGCAAGUCUGAACCAGCCAUGCCGCGUGCAGGAAGAAGGCCCUAUGGGUUGUAAACUGCUUUUGCCAGGGGGAUAAAAUGGGCAUGCGUGCCUAAUUGAAGGUACCUGGUGAAUAAGCCACGGCUAACUACGUGCCAGCAGCCGCGGUAAUACGUAGGUGGCAAGCGUUGUCCGGAUUUAUUGGGUUUAAAGGGUGCGUANGCGGUCCUAUAAGUCAGUGCUGAAAUAUCCCGGCUUAACCGGGAGGGUGGCAUUGAUACUGUUGGACUUGAGUAAAAGUUGANGUUGGCG
rnacentral:rRNA from 1 species